UACAGAGGGGGCGAGCGUUGUUCGGAAUUACUGGGCGUAAAGGGCGCGUAGGCGGCCUUCUAAGUCGAACGUGAAAUCCCCGGGCUCAACCCGGGAACUGCGUCCGAUACUGGUUGGCUUGAAUCCGGGAGAGGGAUGUGGAAUUCCAGGUGUAGCGGUGAAAUGCGUAGAUAUCUGGAGGAACACCGGUGGCGAAGGCGACAUCCUGGACCGGCAUUGACGCUGAGGCGCGAAAGCCAGGGGAGCAAACGGG
rnacentral:rRNA from 1 species